CAUCAUCAACUCUUGCGUCGUUGCACUAUUAAUUUGUCGAGUCAGCAGAAAGAAACUCAUAUUUCUGCUAGACUAAUUUCUCUGCGCAGGCAGUUUUUAACACUCUACUAACCUUCGAACUUCGUCCAAAGGCGUUGAAACAACAAGUGGAAAUACAAGGAGGUUCUUCUACUCUAGAGGGAAGGGGGAAGCUGCGCCUCUGAGUUGCCUGAAUUCUAGUUCUGCUUCUACUGGCAGGAGUCAGAGCAUCCACUAUUCGCCGCAUAUAUGAGAUAUCGCAUAUGUCGUCCUCCUCCUAUGUGUUCUUGGACUUUCUAAGCAACCGAACGAAAAGAAAAAGGAAGCAAGACGGAACAUGAAGAAGUGAACUGUUGUAGACAAGUGACGACUCGCCAUUGAUUCAUCUUGAGAGAGAGAGAGAGAGAGCAGGAGAAUCAUCGACAUUGCCCCGUCAAAUUGACUUUUGACUGUCAUUUGAAAGAUCGAUUCUCCACUCGCACUGCAAAAUGGAAAAGAUUGGUCUUUGGACGACAAUGGCAAACAAUCUUUAUUAUUUAUUACCAAAGGACGAUCAUAUCUGCUCGUUGUCUCAAGCCAAUUACUUCAUAUAUCGUUGUCCGUAGAUCGGUCAACUUAAUUAACUCUGCAUUUUAUUUUUGCAGGUCUAUGUUUUGACAGAUUUUUCAAUGUUGAUGCUCGUUUUCGAGCCUC